rnacentral:snRNA from 1 species
AUACUUACCUGGUGCUGGAGUUUCGCUGGUCAAGACAUGCAGACUGAUUGGAUAAUUUUCUGUUCUUAGGGCAGCGCUGUUAUCACUAGUCGCUGCGCCCUGAUAUGUGGGUUAUAAUAAAUUCUCUUUAUCCCAGGGCGAGGCGCGAGCAUUGCACUGCGCUCGUGUUGACCCCUGCCACUACCCCAAACAGGGGCAGAUGGGGCAUGCAAUUUUUGGUAGUGAGGGGACUGCGUGCGCGCUUUCCCCCC